rnacentral:rRNA from 1 species
UACGAAGGGGGCUAGCGUUGUUCGGAAUUACUGGGCGUAAAGGGCGCGUAGGCGGUGUGUCAAGUCAGGCGUGAAAGCCCCGGGCUCAACCUGGGAACCGCGCUUGAGACUGGCACGCUAGAGUUCGGGAGAGGAUGGUGGAAUUCCCAGUGUAGAGGUGAAAUUCGUAGAUAUUGGGAAGAACACCGGUGGCGAAGGCGGCUCUCUGGACCGAGACUGACGCUGAGGCGCGAAAGCGUGGGGAGCAAACAGG